rnacentral:rRNA from 1 species
AGUGAACGCUGGCGGCAGGCCUAACACAUGCAAGUCGAGCGGCAGCGGGUCCCCGCGAGGGGAGUGCCGGCGAGCGGCGGACGGGUGAGGAACACAUCGGAAUCUGCCUGGUUGUGGGGGAGUAACGUAGGGAAACUUACGCUAAUACCGCAUGAGACCCUGAGUCGACGGACUGGGGGUGAAAGUGAGGGACCUUCGGGCCGUCACGCGACCAGAUGAGCCGAUGUCGGAUUAGCUAGUUGGCGGGGUAACGGCCCGCCAAGGCGACGAUCCGUAGCUGGUCUGAGAGGAUGAUCAGCCACACUGGGACUGAGACACGGCCCAGACUCCUACGGGAGGCAGCAGUGGGAAUCUUGGACAAUGGGCGCAAGCCUGAUCCAGCGAUGCCGCGUGUGUGAAGAGGCCUGCGGGUUGUAAAGCACUUUCAGUAGGGAAGAAAGCCGAGUGCUAAUAUCAC